rnacentral:lncRNA from 1 species
GAGGAUGUAGCUGAGCGGAGCGAGGAGGUAGCUGAGCAGAGCAAGGAUAUAGUUGUGCAGAUUCUUCGGAUUGCCAAGCUGAGGGACAAAGCGUUCAAUUAUGUCCAGUCUGAAAGAUGUGGUACGCCUAAAGAUGGACAACCGUGAGUUGGAAAGCAGUCUAUACACUUUGAGGACAUGUCUCAAGGUGAUCCUCAUGACCAAAGAAGACCAAAGAAUCAUAUUCCUGAGCAUUCGAAGAAGGGUACUCCGCCCUAUUGGUCUUCGGGAUUAUGGUCGAAGCAGAGUAGAUGAAGACCCAACAGCCAUUUUCCUGAUUGACCGAAGAGGGUACCCCGCCUUAUUGGUCUUCGGGAUUAUGGUCGAAGCAGAGUAGAUGAAGACCCAACAGCCAUUUUCCUGAUUGACCGAAGAGGGUAUUCCGCCCUAUUGGUCUUCGGGAUUAUGGUCGAAGCAGAGUAGAUGAAGACCCAACAGCCAUUUUCCUGAUUGAUCGAAGAAGGGUAUUCCGCCCUAUUGGUCUUCGGGAUUAUGGUCAAAGCAGACCCAGAAGCCACACUCCUGAGAAUCCACUGAGGGCACACCGCCCUGUGGAUACUUGUCUUCGGGGAAAUCCAUCUAAAGUUGCAGCUUCAGAUGGAAAGCAGCUGAGGAGUCCGACAAAGCCGUUGCAGUACUUCAGCAGAAGCAGAGCUCGUGGACAUUGCAUGCAGAUGGAUAUUCUAUUUCGAACAUCAGUACAUCAGGCUAUCAAGGGG